rnacentral:rRNA from 1 species
UACGAAGGGGGCUAGCGUUGUUCGGAAUUACUGGGCGUAAAGCGCGCGCAGGCGGUCUUCCAAGUCAGUGGUGAAAGCCCGGAGCUCAACUCCGGAACUGCCAUUGAAACUGUUAGACUUGAGGAUGAGAGAGGUGAGUGGAAUUCCCCAGUGUAGAGGUGAAAUUCGUAGAUAUUGGGAAGAACACCGGUGGCGAAGGCGGCUCACUGGCUCGUAUCUGACGCUCAGGCGCGACAGCGUGGGGAUCGAAACAGG